rnacentral:rRNA from 1 species
AGGAUUAACGCUGGCGGCGUGCCUAACACAUGCAAGUCGAACGAGGUAGCAAUACCUAGUGGCAGACGGGUGAGUAACACGUGGUCAACCUACCCUCGAGUGGGGGAUAACUAGCCGAAAGGUUAGCUAAUACCGCAUAAAACGUGCCGGGGCAUCCCGGAACGUUAAAAGGAGCAAUCCUCUCGUUGACGGGACCGCGUCCGAUUAGCUAGUUGGUGGGGUAAUGGCCUACCAAGGCUCCGAUCGGUAGCUGGUUUGAGAGAGCGACCAGCCACACUGGGACUGAGAAACGGCCCAGACUCCUACGGGAGGCAGCAGUGAGGAAUUUUCCGCAAUGGGCGAAAGCCUGACGGAGCGACGCCGCGUGUGGGAAGAAGGCCUUCGGGUCGUAAACCACUGUCGAAGGGGACUACAAUGAAGGUACCCUUGGAGGAAGCCCCGGCUAACUACGUGCCAGCAGCCGC